CUUUACUUUCCUGGGUGUAAAUAGCCAAGCGGAAUUAGUACCAUCGCCCCGUAUUGGUUUGUCACAAUCCACCUUUACUGCGAUGAGUAAUAUGACACUGCCACGUAACAAAUUUGCAUAUUUUCGGACAACUUUUGUAGCUUGCUAGUAAAAAUAUAUACACGUGUGCGAACUAGAAAAGCAGAAAAUCAGAAAAGAAAGGGCAAAUCCGAUAAUUAUUUAGUACAACAAGUAUAAUCUAAGGUAUUGUCAGUGUCACCAAGCGAAUGAAAAUUAAGUGUCUGGUCAUAUCGGCAGAAAAAUGCGCGUUUCAUUUUAUCGGUAAAUACGGGCAUGUAGUAAAACACUGACUACCGGAACACCGGAACACCACCGG